AUAAGAACCUUUUAUAAACUUUCGAUAGAGAACGUGAAAUGAUUCUUUGUUGGAACAUUGGUCUUGGAGCGAACAAAGCUGUAUAUAUUCGGUCAAAAAACACUUUGGGUAGUAGAAAAUGUCGAAAGCUUCCCGUGGGAUUCAAACUCACGUCUCCUGGAAACAUGACCCAAUAUUUACACGCUAAUACUUCAUUUGCUUCGCGAUACACCGUUCCUAAGAUGAAUUACUUCACAGUUUCUCAAAGUUUAUAAAUUCUUAUGAUGUCAAAAACAUGCAAUCUCGUUACUAAGAGUAAAGCUUCGAAAGUGGUUAGACAAAUUUGAAGGAUUACUUUGAUCCACGCUUAUCAAAUGAAGCAAUACAUAACCCAAUUAUUCAUAUGCUAUGCAACUAUACGACGAGUUAUUUCAGUUUCCAUUUACCAAAUCCACUCACAAGACUUAAGUCGGCCUGGACGACACUAGACCAAGGUGCAACGCAGGGGAACUGAACUCAGAACCAUGUUGUUGGGAAGCAAACAUAUUAUUAAAAAGCCACGCUAAUGUACAAAAGCAUUAUGAUUUACUUGUAAGACUGAAAUGAAAAAUGUUUACGUUUUUUUGUUUUAUUUUUUUUCUUUUUGUUUGCUAACAGAUGAAAAUACUUUCAUUUUAAAAGCAUGUCUAUAAGGAGGAAGAAAUAAAAACAAUUUAGCUCGAGUAAACAACAGCAACAAUAAUAAGAGCAACAGCAAAAUUCCUUAACGAGAAAAAGCGAUGAUUUAUGUAAAAAGAAAACAAGGCUAAACAAAAACACCCCAACCCAAAACAACAACGUCUGUAUCUACUAGUUGUAAGGAUCUUAAGCCAUAAAGUAUGAAAUCUCCUCCUCCCCAAAACGUGAUAUUCCAUCUCGCAACUCCAAAAUUUCAUAAACAUCAAACAACAGUAAAAGGAUGUUAUCAUUACCCCUGACUUUUAACGAAAGUCACAACGCAAGAGAAAGCGCAAUGUGCAUCUUGGUUCAUAGAGACCACAUUAGACACUCAAGUCCAGCGAAAUUACCGUACAAAGUAUGUGUUAACAUCCGCACAUGUCAUAAAAUGUUUAUGAAAACAAGAAGAGUCCUACAGAAAACAGGCGCUGGGUGAGCAAGGACAUCUGUGGAAGAACUGCGAAUUUGAGCAGGAUUUCAUCGUAGUCAUACUUAGUCCAUUUGUAAUGCAAGUUGACAGGUUCGAUAGUUAAGAAUAUUCUAGGAUUCUGCACCCGCAUUUUCCAUUCUAGUAAUGAACAUGUUUAUGCAGUCUCAUUUAUGAUGAGGAAUUAAAAAAUAAAAAUAAAAAAACAAUGAAAAAUGAAGCGCAAAUAAAUAUUGGAAGAGGACACAAGAAAACAGUGUGAGAGAAAAUAUAUUAGAUUAUAUUGGAGCAAGUUCUUGUACCUGACAUCUAUGUAUGAUUGCAUGUAUGCAUAUAAUAAUGUGUGUAUAUUGUUAUGCAUAUCGUACCCGAGGAAGGUGUAGAACUUUGUGUUUUAACUCGAAAUGGUGUUAAAUCAUUUCUGUCCUGGAUUUUUAACCGAUGGACUGCUUUAUGGUACCUAAUUUCUUUAUUUUAUUUUAUGUUAUUUUUUAU